UUAGAUUUCUCCAGUCCUUGGAAGAGUGCUGCAGUUAUUCUCAGCAAGGAAUGCUGAUUUGUUAUGGACCAAAUAUUGCUUUGCUCCUGCUUUCCUUCACCAAUGUCCAUCUGUCUGACCUGUCUCUAUGUAAGAGCCUUUUCCUCCCUGCACAGACAGGCAAAUCAGUGCAAGACUACAGGGUCCCAAGGAGUUAUGAUGCAGAGUGUUUAUCUCCAUUCCUGAUUAUUCUGCAAGUUCCGAGACAAUUUGUUCCACAAACAACCGCAAGAUGCCUGGUGCUCUCAGUCCCCCAAGUCCUCUAAAAUAGAGACAAAGCAGAGGUAGUUGUUACAACUGACCUAAUCCUGAGUGGCCACCAGAAGAGACAGUGGACUGCUUAUUAUCUCUCACGACUCCAUCCUGAUGACUUUGGCAUUUGUGUGAAACCACAGAGUGGUAGAUGCAAGAGGCAGGAUUGCAAGCUCUGAAGUUGGCUUUGGGAAUAAAUUGUGAGAAGACAUGUUUUCUUCUGAGCCACUUGUUUUGUACUAGCAAGAGAAGGCAGCCUCCUUUAUUGCUCAAUAAAGGACAGCUCUGCAGUGAAGUGUGUGUCUUGACAGAUGAAAAAUAUGCCUUGGCAAGGAAUUGCUCCAAUGAGAUGGGUGUAGGGAAGGCAUUCCCAUCACCUCACGGACUUAGGGGCAUAAUGGCAGCUUGGACUGUGCAAAUCACUUUAUCCAACAGAUGAAGCCCUAAAAUGUUAUUGGAGCAUCUGAAAAAGGAAGACAGUCUCUAAACUCAGGAGAGAUAAAAGUGUUUUUCCAAAGCACAACAAAGCAAAAGUUUUUUUCUGACCCACACUUGUCUUCCUGAAGUAGCCAGUCUGAAACCUUGUGCACAUGGCUUCUAAAAGCCCUGAAAUGUCAGUGCCUCCUGGUGUGUGGAGAUGAAACAGAACAUUAAUUUGGUAGUUUUUAAGAGUCUGGCAUGGUGUCAAAAAUGAUCAUCAGUGUGUUAUGAGGGAAAAUUUGUGUUUGCUGUGAUCUAAUCUCUUCUGCUCAACAGUCCAGUGAUGUCAUUUAAGAGAUGAGAGGAAAUGAAGAGUGUUUGGUCUUUGUGCUGAUAUUGUUGGGGUAGAGUUAAUUUUCUUCUCAAUAGGUAGUGUGGGUCUGUGUUUUGGAUUUGUUCUGGCAACAGCUCUGAAAAUUCAGGGAUGUUUCACUUAUCGUUGAGCUGUUCUUAUACAGAGUCAAGGCCUCUCCUGCUUCUCACACCACUCCACCAGCGAGGAGGCUGGGGGUGCACAAGGAGUUGGGAAGGCACACAGCCAGGACAGCUGACCCCAGCUGACCAGUGGGAUAUUCCAGACCAUAUGGCAUUGUGCUCAGCACAUCAAGCUGGAGGAAGAAGGAAGGGUUGCAUGAUGUUUGCCUUCCCAAGGCACCAUUACACAUGAUGGAGCCCUCCAUUCCUGGGGAAGGCUGGACACCUGCCCAUGGGAAGUGAAUUAAUUACUUGUUUGGUUUUGCUUGUAUACACAUGGCUUUUGCUUUCCCUAUUAAACUGUCUUUAUCUCAACCCACAAGUUUUCUCACUUUUACCCUUCUGAUUCUCUCCCCCAUGCCACUGUGAGGGAUUGAGCAGGUGCCUCUGUCUGGCUGAGUUGCCAGCUGGUGUAAACCAUGAUAGUCUCAGAUCCAAAAAGAUAUUUAAUCUAAGAAUUAGGAGGACAAGUAACAGGGUCAAAAAAAAAAUUAUGUAUAGGUUCUGUAUAUUCCAGUUUUCAAAAGAAUAUAAUUUUACAUCUUGAUGAUUUGAGAUUUUUAAUCUCCUCCAAAAUUCCUUGCUUCAGUAUUGUAUCUAUUUGUACUUUUUGAAUGGUCCCUGUUGAUGUUUCACAACAGUAGAAAGCUGGUCUUUGCAGAAAGUAGAAGCAUCUGGAUAUGGAACACUAUUAAAUAUACAGGACAGCAGAAGCUGGAUGCACUCUGCUUAUUUUCAGUGCUGCUCCAUUUCAUUUGAGGCCAUGUACUUAGCUGAGUCUGGAAAUCUGUUAUCUGGGGGCUGCACAAGCACAAGACUCCUGUUCUGAAUGGCUGCUAGACUGCAAUCUUUCUGUCUAAACAAAAAGCUGGAGAUAAACAUGGAGGGAAAGGACCAGUUUUAGAGAUGUGCAGAGCUGGGCAAGUCUGAUCCUUGCUGUGGUGAUUUGCCAACUUGGUCAUGCUGCUUCCUCAAAUUAUCCAGGGAGCAGAGCAGUUACCGGUCUCUGCCAGGGUACACACACUGCAGCUGCACACAGAAGUGCAACAAGUCAGGCAGGACACAGGGAGAAAACAGCAGUGCUUAAUUUGAACUGACAGCAUUUGAUGCAACACAUCAGGAGCUGUAAAGGGACAGGAGGCAUUUCUCUUUAGCUGGACUGCUGAUGUCAACUUGGAUAGCAGAUGCUCCAGCUAGAUUACAGAGGCAGGAUAGAAAAGGUCUCACUUUCUCACAGGGUCUACCUGUUAAUCUUACUGUUUUCCUCUAGCUUUCUCAGCUUUCUCUUACAUUACACUGACAUCUCUGAUUUUUGUACAGAAUAAGUGAAAAUGUGUGGUCCUAGUUCUGCAUCACUUUUCCUACAGAGGGGCAGGAUUGGCAAGAAAUGGUGAUUAAAUAUUUGCACUUUCUCGCUUUCCAUUUAUUUCAGGAAUCAGCCCACAUCUGCAUACAUGCACACAUUGAAAGCUGAAGCUGAUGUGCAGUAGACAAGGUUCAUGCCAUCCUUUCAUUGUGCCUUGUGCAGUCAGAUUAUACUCAGUGGUAUGAUGCAGAAGCAUUCUGUGGGGAUCUCAGCAGUGAAAAUCCCAUCAAAUCAUUGACAAGAAUGCAUAAUCUGCAGCCCUGCAUAAACCCUGGGUCCUACAGGAAUCUAAAUCUGACCUGUACAGCAUAAGGAAUUGCUACACUUGAGAUAACCUAAAGCAACUGGAGAAGGCUCAAGUGCUGACCUUCCUCUGUUUUAGAUCCCUGCUGGCUCAACUCAAGGAAUUCUAUCCUGAUCCUGCCAAUUGAUACAUAUUCAUACUGCUUAUUGAAAGAGACAACACCCUGGCUAUUAAAUCUCGUACUUCCUGAUGGGUUUGAUGUUGCUGCUGCAGCUGUUAAGCAAAAUGUGUAAAUUUUACUUUGUUCUCUAAGAAGUUGUUUUACCAUGUUCAAGUUGCUUUUGGUAUGAUGGAUUGACUAAUCUCUGUACAUUACUAUUAUUCCAGUAGAGCCUGGAGAAAAACUUGGGUUUGGGGUGCCAAAUAGAAGGCACUGUAUGUGCAUAUUAUCUGCUGCUUGCAGCAGCUUUGUUCUUGCAAACAAAGUCUUGCAAACUUGCUCUUACAAAACACAGCACAGAGAAUGACAGGAGAAAGUGAGACCAAGAAUUCAGAGCUGUGGAAAUUACCAGUUAGCUGAGUGUUUGUUCCUGUUCUUGGUGUCUUGGGUGGCUGUUGGUUUGGUUUUUUGUUUAAAUCCGUGAAGACUGUAGUAAACGAGUAAGAGGCAGUUCCUUUGUUUCUGCUCUGUUUGUAUCAGUAUGCAGCUAUUAGUAUGAAAUGCUGCCAUUCCCUGAGCAUCCCGGCUAAACAAAAAACCUUUGGAACAAAGUGCUCAGAAAAGGCAGACAAGAAGCGUGGGCUUGGGGUGGGGAUGAGUGUGUGAACACUGGUGUUUAAUUUACACAGGUAUUUCUUCGUCCACCUAGAAAAGAGUUAAACGGCAGAAUCACCUGAUCCGCUUUUCACCUCCCGAGGUUGUUCCUUACAAUGAGAAAUAUUUUCCUGUCUGCUUUUGAAAGAAACAACUUCAAAACCUUUGUGGCCGGGGUGGCAUCAUGCUCUGCACAGCCCGGGUUCGGCUGGACCGAGAUGCAGCCACCGUCAGCGAGACAAAGGCAUGGAUAAUGAAAACGGGAACUAACCCAGGGAAUGAAGGGGACCGAGCAGCAUCUGAUGAGAGCUGAAAGGAAAACCCGGCUGGUGUUUCCGAGCACUGUGCGUUCAUCUCCACUGCGAGUGACCGGUUUCACCGCAGAUGCCAGGAGGUGAGGACGGGACCAGCAGCUCCUUGCGCAGAAGGUCCCAUGUCAGUCACAGCACAGCUUCUGGCCAAUUACAGGAGGGGAAGCGACAGAAAUGGAGUUUUUCCUAUCUCCUCCGGCAGAAUUUUGCAGAGAGAUUGGAAGUGGAGGGAAGGAGUUAAUCUCUGUGCAGCCAGGCUGUGCCUCCUCCCCGCAAUUUUCUCCUCGACUCCUCUGUUGUUGCUGCACUGUGGUGCUCGGGCUGAGAUGCCGAUGGAGCAGCUCCCUGAUUGCACUGCCCAGGCACGAACACCACCUGCUCCAAAACUCAGGCGGAUUACUUUUUAAAUUACAAAAAACCCCAAAUACUUUGGUUUUUUGUUUAAAUCCGUGAAGACUGUAGUAAACGAGUAAGAGGCAGUUCCUUUGUUUCUGCUCUGUUUGUAUCAGUAUGCAGCUAUUAGUAUGAAAUGCUGCCAUUCCCUGAGCAUCCCGGCUAAACAAAAAACCUUUGGAACAAAGUGCUCAGAAAAGGCAGACAAGAAGCGUGGGCUUGGGGUGGGGAUGAGUGUGUGAACACUGGUGUUUAAUUUACACAGGUAUUUCUUCGUCCACCUAGAAAAGAGUUAAACGGCAGAAUCACCUGAUCCGCUUUUCACCUCCCGAGGUUGUUCCUUACAAUGAGAAAUAUUUUCCUGUCUGCUUUUGAAAGAAACAACUUCAAAACCUUUGUGGCCGGGGUGGCAUCAUGCUCUGCACAGCCCGGGUUCGGCUGGACCGAGAUGCAGCCACCGUCAGCGAGACAAAGGCAUGGAUAAUGAAAACGGGAACUAACCCAGGGAAUGAAGGGGACCGAGCAGCAUCUGAUGAGAGCUGAAAGGAAAACCCGGCUGGUGUUUCCGAGCACUGUGCGUUCAUCUCCACUGCGAGUGACCGGUUUCACCGCAGAUGCCAGGAGGUGAGGACGGGACCAGCAGCUCCUUGCGCAGAAGGUCCCAUGUCAGUCACAGCACAGCUUCUGGCCAAUUA
ensembl:lncRNA